UACAGAGGGGGCAAGCGUUAUUCGGAAUUAUUGGGCGUAAAGCGCACGUAGGCGGUUCGUUAUGUCGGAUGUGAAAGCCCUUGGCUUAACCGAGGAAGUGCAUCCGAAACUGGCGAGCUAGAGUACGAAAGAGGAUCGCGGAAUUCCCGGUGUAGAGGUGAAAUUCGUAGAUAUCGGGAGGAACACCGGUGGCGAAGGCGGCGAUCUGGGUCGAUACUGACGCUGAGGUGCGAAAGCGUGGGGAGCAAACAGG
rnacentral:rRNA from 1 species